ACUCAAAGGAAUUGACGGGGACCCGCACAAGCGGUGGAGCAUGUGGUUUAAUUCGAGGCAACGCGAAGAACCUUACCAGGACUUGACAUCCUUCCUAAACCUUAUGUAAUGUAAGGCUCAGCUCGGCUGGGGAAGAGACAGGUGCUGCAUGGCUGUCGUCAGCUCGUGUCGUGAGAUGUUGGGUUAAGUCCCGCAACGAGCGCAACCCUCAUCAUUAGUUACCAGCGAGUUAUGUCGGGGACUCUAAUGAAACUGCCCAUGACAAGUGGGAGGAAGGCGAGGAUGACGUCAAGUCAGCACGGCCCUUACGUCCUGGGCCACACACGUGCUACAAUGGCAGUGACAAUGGGCUGCAACCACGCGAGUGGAAGCUAAUCUCAAAAAACUGUCUCAGUUCGGAUUGCUCUCUGCAACUCGAGAGCAUGAAGCUGGAAUCGCUAGUAAUCGCAUAUCAGCAGGAUGCGGUGAAUACGUUCCCGGGUCUUGCACACACCGCCCGU
rnacentral:rRNA from 1 species